rnacentral:rRNA from 1 species
UCGAGAAUUUUUCUCAAUGGGCGCAAGCCUGAAGGAGCGACGCCGCGUGGGGGAUGAAUGGCUUCGGCCCGUAAACCCCUGUCAUUUGCGAACAAACCUUACGAUUGAACAGAUCGUGAGCUGAUUGUAGCGGAAGAGGAAGGGACGGCUAACUCUGUGCCAGCAGCCGCGGUAAUACAGAGGUCCCAAGCGUUGUUCGGAUUCACUGGGCGUAAAGGGUGCGUAGGUGGCAGGGUAAGUUUGAUGUGAAAUCUCCGAGCUUAACUCGGAAACUGCAUUGAAUACUAUCCUGCUUGAGGGUUGGAGGGGAGACUGGAAUUCUCGGUGUAGCAGUGAAAUGCGUAGAUAUCGAGAGGAACACCAGUGGCGAAGGCGAGUCUCUGGACAACUCCUGACACUGAGGCACGAAAGCUAGGGGAGCAAACA